GGUAGCAUGCUUGUCUGAGUGUCUGUGGAUCCCACUCAGCACUGGUGAUUACUUUAUUUUAUUUUAUCGUACUCACUAGUAGCUGGUUGCUUUGGCUUUGACGGUCUGAACUGACUGUCUUUGCUUAAAUUCUACAUUCAUGUACGUGCAUAGAUCUAGAAACAUCUUGGCCCGUUGAAUAACGGUGCUGGCAUUCUCGUCUAUCUCUGGUAGCUUUAGGGCUUUCUUGAGUUUGAUGGUGAGAUUGUUAAAGCCUGUCUUUUGGCAAGCCUUGAUUGUGGCUAAAUCUAGCUAUGCUGUUAAUGUUAAAUUAACCGGCUAGCUAUCCAAUUCCGGAUCUCAGAUCAAGCAAGAUGACCCGCCGAAUUUAAGCAUAUAAUUAAGCGGAGGAAAAGAAACUAACUAGGAUUCCCUCAGUAACGGCGAGUGAAGCGGGACUAGCUCAGGAUGUGAAUCUGCGCUUUAAUGGCGCCGAAUUGUGGUCUAUAGACCUUGACGUUAUCUGCCGGGCCAAGUUCCUUGGAAAAGGACAGCUGAGAGGGUGAGACUCCCGUCCGCCUGGUAGAGUGAGUCAUGUGUCAACGAGUCGAGUUGUUUGGGAUUGCAGCUCUAAUUUGGUGGUAAAUUCCAUCUAAAGCUAAAUAUUGGUGGGAGACCGAUAGCGUACAAGUACCGUGAGGGAAAGAUGCAAAGAACUUUGAAAAGAGAGUUAAAGAGUACCUGAAAUUGCUGAAACGGAAGCGAAGGAAACCAGUGUUUGUUGGUUCAUAUUUCCCUGGCCACUUGUGGUUUGGGCGCUGUGAGCUUGCGUGUGUU
rnacentral:rRNA from 1 species